rnacentral:rRNA from 1 species
UGAGUAACCGCAAGUCUUGUGAAAACCAAGACCGCCGAAAGCCUGAGGUUUCCUCCGCGAUGUCAAUCAUCGGAGGGUUAGGCGACCCUAAGCGUAACCCCGCUGUUGAAGAGCACUUGUUGCUUCGCAACUAUUUGUUGUUGAAGUACGAGUGUGAGAAAUAAUAUAGAAAUAUUUAUUUUAAGUAUUGCAGCAGUAUGCUGGUGCUUUUCAACGGCGGGGGAUCGCGAUGGUCAGCCGGUUAAUAUUCCGGCCCCGCUUAUAUAUUUGAAGGGAUGACGGACUAUAAAAGGUCAAGCACAUUAUUGGAUUUGUGUCUUUGCUCGUAGGAUAGGAACCAGGCAAAUCCGGUUCCGGCCGCAAGGCAUAUCCGAGAGUAAAAGAAAUUGCCGCAAGGCUUGAUUUGACCGAAUAGUGUUCCAAGAAAAGUCUCUAAAUUUAUUAUAUAAGCGCACGUACCGCAAACCGACACAGGUAGGCAGGUGUAAGUGCACCAAGGCGAACGGGUGAUUAUUGGCUAAGGAACUCGGCAAAAAAGCGGCCGUAAGUUCGCGAUAAGGCCUGCCCAGCACCACUUUGACUUUAAGUGUGAGAUUAGUAAUAUGCGAUUAUGUAUAUCGUGUAUUUAAUUCAACAUUCUGAAACAAAACAUUUGUAUUAUGGAGUGACGAAAAAUCUCAAAGAGCGAUUAGAUACACAUAAUCGCAAUGGUCAAAAAGCGACGAUGCAUAAAAGCGGAACAUGGAUGCUCGUGUAUGCGGAAGCAUAUCGAGCCAAAGAAGAUGCAUUACGUCGUGAACGAAAACUUAAAGAUCACGGAAGAUCAAUUCAAGAACUAAAGAAAAGAAUCAAAAAAGGUUUAUUGUCUUGAAGUCAAAGUGGUGCUGGGCCACAGCUAAAGAACCCCUGGCGACUGUUUAUCAAAAACACAACUUCGUGCUAAGCCGUAAGGCGAUGUAUACGAGGUGACGCUUGUCCGGUGCCGGAACGUUAACGGUGGAGGUGGUAUGGAGCAAUCUGUACUGCUGACGCCCGAAGCGCCGGUGAACGACGGCAGUAACUAUAACUGUCUAAAAGUAGGAAAGCUGCUUUUAUAAAAUCUGACUAAAUGCUGGAAAAUCUGUAGUAUCGAGAGCUACGACAUGGUAUAAUGAUACCAUGCGUAAAAAGGCUCCUCGUGCAGACAAUCAGCAGGAAAGAUUAAGACUAGAGGGAUGGAUAAAUGGUUUUGUUGAUGGUGAAGGAUGUUUUACAAUAAGCAUCAUUCGCAAUCGUUCAAUAACCAAACGACAAGGCUGGCAAGUAUUUCCAGAAUUUGUAGUGAGUCAAGGCGAGAGGAGUGAAGCGGCAUUAAAAAGAAUUGAAAAAUUCUUUAAGUGCGGUUACAUAAAUCUCAAUACACGCCGUGAUAAUCAUCAUGAACAAAUGUUGAAGUAUUGUGUCAGGUCAAUUCAUGACCUUAAUGAAAAAAUUAUACCCUUCUUUGAGAGAAAUAAACUGAAAACCUAUAAACAAAAAGAUUUUCAAGUUUUUCGAAGAAUCAUAAAAAUGAUGGUUCUAAAGAAACAUCUCUCUGAAAAAGGGUUAAGCAAAAUUACUUCACUGAUUCAAACAAUGAAUCGGAGAAAGUAUGCUCAAGUCUUAAAAUCCUCAGAGACUAUACGUCAGACCCCAACGUUGAACGAACGUGGCGGGAAGAUAUAGUCCGAACUGCAUGGCGACAUGCAGGGCACAUAAAUAUGUGCCGCAACAAAAUAGUUGUAACGUAUUCGAGCGAAAUACCUUGUGGGGUAAGUUCCCACGCGCAUGAAUAGCGGAACGACUGGGGGACUGUCUCAGCCAAUAGCCCGGUGAAAAUGCAAUGUCGGUAAAGAUGCCGACUACCCGCACCAAGACGGAAAGACCCCGGAAGCUUUACUGCAGCUUGGUAUUGGUCUACGAGUUGUUAUGCGUAGCGUAGUGAGUAGGAUUUGAAGUCCACCUCUCGGGGUGGAUGGAUCCGCCGAUGAAACACUCAUCUUAACGAUUUGUAGCUCUAACCGGUUACACCCUAAAAGGGUGGAAUUAUAAAAGCUAAAGUGAGCUCCUGGAAUACCAUAUAGUAUAUCUAUUUGGUUGGGAGUAAUUUUAGGUUUUAUCAAAUUCCAAAUUUUUAGGGUGUAAUCGAGACAGUGCCUGGCGGGCAGUUUAAGUGGGGCACUUUUCUCCUAAAAAGUAAUGGAGAAGUUCAUCAAGGUUGGCUAGCUCCGGAUGGAAAUCGGAGCGAUAGCGUAAAGGCAAAAGCCAGCUUUACUGCAAGGCGGAUGUGCCGCGCAGUUGCGAAAGCAGGACUUAGUGAACCGACUCUUGCUCGUAGGAGCGGAGAAGAUCAUCAGAUAAAAGCUACUCCGGGGAUAACAGGCUGGUUUUGCCCGAGCGUUCAUAGCGACGGCAAAGUUCGGCACCUUAACAUAUCGGGGUGCUCUAGGAGAGAUCCUAUACCUGGAAACCUAAAAUAUAGAUUUUAGGUCAAUAAAUCUGGCUUAUAACGGUGGAGUCGAACUUAGUUUUAUGAUAAAAUUAACAUAACAAACUAAGCGAUAAUACCGUGGGAAGUCUUACACAAGAACAAAAAUCUUUAAUGAUCGGAACCAUUUUAGGAGACGGUUAUUUAAGGAUAAUUCCAAGAAGGAAGAACGCGUUUCUUGAGGUCAAUCAUUCAGCUAAACAAAAAGAUUAUGUGGAUUGGAAAUAUUCUGUCUUGCAAUCAAUUGUAAAAAGCAAACCUAAAUUAAGAAAUGGUAAUGGGCAUAGGGUCGCUUGUCGAUUUUAUACUCGGUGCCAUUCAGAAAUUACAGAUUUGUUUAGGUAUUUUUAUAAAGAUCGCAAGAAAAUAAUUCCGAAUGAUUUAGAAAUUAAUCCAUUUAGUUUGGCGGUUUGGUAUAUGGAUGACGGAUCAAAAAGCGGCGGGUCAAUCUAUCUGAAUACUCAACAGUUUUUGAUAGAAGACCAAAAUAAAUUGCAAGAACUUUUGCUAAAGCAGUUCGAUGUUAAUUCUAAUCUUAAUAAGGACAAAGAAUUUAUGAGAAUUAGAAUUAAAACGGAGGAUGCUAAAAAGUUUUGCGAUAUUAUUCGCGAAUUCAUUCCUCAAUCAAUGCAAUAUAAACUCGUGUAAUGACCCCGUAGAGACUCAAUCUUAAAAAGAUUGGAGUUGUCGCAAUACGACAGCUAACACGCCAGCUCCUAAUCCUAUAAACGGGAAAGGAAGAAGAUAUAGUCCAUACAAUUAGUAAUAGUUGAAGAAUAUACGAUGUCGGCUCGCCCUAUCCUGGGACUGAAGAAGGCCCCAAGGGUUUGGCUGUUCGCCAAUUAAAAGGGUACGCGAGCUGGGUUCAAACCGUCAAAACAAUUGAACCGAGGACAUUAAACACGGCGGCUUUAUAGAGUAAUCUAUAUCGAACAAAUCGACUCAUAUCGGUGAAUUCCUAUCAUUGAACAUUAACCUGUCAGAUGUUAGGAUAAUACCGAGGGAAGUUGUGUGCCAUGAAGACACUUACUUCACAACAACAAGCAUAUAUCGCAGGAUUUCUUGAUGGCGAUGGAAGUAUUUAUGUACAGGCAAAAAAGAAUCCGACCUAUAGGUACGGAUAUCAAGUUGCCCCGUAUGUUGUAUUAUUCCAAUCGACUAAAAGCGAAUCUAAUUUUUUGCAGAUCUGUAAUCUAAUAGGAUUAGGACAUUUGCGAAGGCGAAAAGAUGGAAUUUCAGAAUACAUUAUUGGUCGUAUAGACCAGUUGAAAGGGUUUUUGAAACUUGUUGAACCAUUUGUAAUCUUGAAAAAGAAACAAGUGGUGUUAAUGCUUCAGAUUCUUGAACAGAAAGACAAAAUUGAGAACAAGCAUGAUUUUGAAGCAUUGUUGAAGUUAAUAGAUACGUUUCGCGAAUUUAAUUAUUCAAAGAAACGAUUGAAACGCACAUUAACCCCGUAGAGACUUGAUUCUUAAUGAAUCAGAUUCUGCAAAUGCAGGAUAACACGUCGAUCAUCCGUAUAUUCGGAUGGUGGUAUAGUCCAUACUGCUGGCAACAGCAGAAAUUAGUAAUAAUAGCGUGAGACAGGUUGGUCCAUAUCUGGUGCGGGCGUUGAUACUUGAGAAGGGUUGUCCCUAGUAAGUAAUUGCUACUUCGCGAAGUAAUUCGCGAUGACAAUUCGGCUAAUAACGGUGGAGGCUCUUGUUUGCUAUGCAAUUCGGUCCGAAAGGCAUAGAUCAAAACGGACAAGAGUUAAUACCGUGGGAAGUUAUCCGUUCAAAUUUUCGGAUUUAAAAAUCCUGCGAAAAGCAGGAUCCGUGGGGUUAUUUGUAUUUUAUCAGACCCCAUAUAAUAAGUGGGAAAGUAAGAGGAUACAAUAAAACCGAAACAACAAGACAAAUAAUGAAAACUAUAUUCGUAUUUAAAAUAUAUCUAAGAGGACUAAAAAAAUUAUAUGCGAUGGGGAAAAUGUAGAACAUGUAGAAGUAUGAUGUUGGUAGUUUUGCUGGGAAUACUUCCGGUAAAGAAGAUUUUGGUAGGGCCACUAGCAGGUCGACUAAAGUAAUUAUAUAACCAACCGAGUAUGCUAAGAGUAAAAAGAACAACAUGUCCACCCCCUUUGUUAGAAAACUGUACAUAUCUUUAACCAAUUUGUUGUAUUAGUCAAGUCCAAAAAUUUGAGCGGAUAACCCCGUAACGACUUGUUCCCGAGCUCUUAAAUGAGUGGAGGACGGAUAGAGGCUUUUCAGCUUCUAUAAGAUGCCGAUCUCCAACUCCGCCUUUAGCGGAAGGAGAAAGAUAUAGUCUACACCCAUAGUGAUAUGGGAUUGAAAAUGUGACGAGAGGACCGGGAUGAACGAACCUCUGGUCUGCCAGCUGUCGCGCCCGCGGCACGGCUGGGUAGCUAUGUUCGGUUCUGAUAAGCGCUGAAAGCAUAUAAGCGCGAAGCAGGCUUCAAGAUUAAGUAUCGUAGAUUCCUCGGAGAUGACGAGGUUGAUAGGGCUUAGAUGUAAGCGCAGUAAUGCGUUGAGUCGAGAGCUACUAAUAAAUCAUUU